CCUACCCCCCCCCUUAGCUACAGUCCUGUAAAGUGGGGGGGCUAAAAGGAAUGGAAAUGUUAUAUGGGGGAAUGGGGUGUGAUACAAACUUAUAAAUUUCAACCAAAUAGUUAACAUUAUCUAUUAUUAAAUAAUGGAUAGUAAGCUUCAAGUUCUCUGCUAACUUUAAAAAAUAUUUUCAUUCUUAGAUCCAGAAUCUUCUACAGAAGAGGAACCUGCUGAUGGUGCUGCACCCUCUUGUACAGAAGUGCAACCUUCUGAUGAUGGUAGGUAGAGGAGAGCAAGAUAAAUUUAU
rnacentral:lncRNA from 1 species